GUAAGUGAUGAAGAAAUAUAAU
rnacentral:miRNA from 1 species